ACAACUUCCUGUUUGGAUUUCUUUUGACACAGUGUGAUUGGCCUCCACUGUGCCCCUCUGUCUUGCUGACCCAUUUCCAGCAUCAGCACAUGCAGGGGGGCCCCAGAAAGAGGCCACCCCGACGCUUGUGGAUCUGCCUCUCCACUAAGCGUCAGGCAGCUCACAAUACAACUCUGUUCCGGCUCCAGCUGGACGCGCCUCCUCCUGCACGGUCCCAGAAGAUCCUUCUUUCCUCCUGGUCCAUGGCCUAAAAUACUUGAAGGCCCAGAUGUGGAAAACAGACUCACUGGACCACAACAGCAUUUUUCUUCCUUCUUCAAAAGAACUUGCAUUCAACACAUGAACUCACAAUGUUGAAAUGUGUUGGAGGUCAAUAUUAGAAAAAUGCUUUGUUAAUGUUUAUUCCAGACACAGCUUUCUUGUUUUCUGACAUGCAAAGUAUUUCCUGUGAUCAGGAGCAGAUCUCCACUCGUACAUCCUGCGUAGGCGAUCGGUCCCUGCAGUCUACAAAUGAGGUUCAUAAGGUCAUAUGGACUGGGAUCAUGACACACACACACACAGUCUCGCCUAAAAUGAAGUUCUACCACAUUGUGCUUUCUAUAUGUGGGUCAACCACAGUUUUUAAAAAUAGAAAGUAGGGAAGAAUGAAGAGAAAGGUGGACAGGGAAGUCGAUGAGAUGAACAAAUACAAGAACAAAAUGUUUCACCAGCUGGUCAGAGUCCAGGCAGUAAAAUCAGAUGGUGUAUUAUUUUAAAUGCCAUAGUCUGUGUGAUAUGUUUUAAUAAUUCAGCUUCAGGACAGCAUUCUG